rnacentral:rRNA from 1 species
UACGGGGGGGGCAAGCGUUGUUCGGAAUUACUGGGCGUAAAGGGCGCGUAGGCGGCCAACUAAGUCGGAUGUGAAAUCCCCAGGCUCAACUUGGGAACUGCAUCCGAUACUGGUCGGCUUGAAUCCGGGAGAGGGAUGUGGAAUUCCAGGUGUAGCGGUGAAAUGCGUAGAUAUCUGGAGGAACACCGGUGGCGAAGGCGACAUCCUGGACCACAACUGACGCUGAUGCACGAAAGCUAGGGGAGCAAACAGG